rnacentral:rRNA from 1 species
CCUACGGGUGGCAGCAGUAGGGAAUCUUCCACAAUGGGCGCAAGCCUGAUGGAGCAACACCGCGUGAGUGAAGAAGGGUUUCGGCUCGUAAAGCUCUGUUGUUGGAGAAGAACGUGCGUGAGAGUAACUGUUCACGCAGUGACGGUAUCCAACCAGAAAGUCACGGCUAACUACGUGCCAGCAGCCGCGGUAAUACGUAGGUGGCAAGCGUUAUCCGGAUUUAUUGGGCGUAAAGCGAGCGCAGGCGGUUGCUUAGGUCUGAUGUGAAAGCCUUCGGCUUAACCGAAGAAGUGCAUCGGAACCCGGGCAACUUGAGUGCAGAAGAGGACAGUGGAACUCCAUGUGUAGCGGUGGAAUUCGUAGAUAUAUGGCAGAACACCAGUGGCGAAGGCGGCUGUCUGGUCUGCAACUGACGCUGAGGCUCGAAAGCAUGGGUAGCGAACAGGCUUAGAUACCCCAGUAGUU